GAUGAACGCUGGCGGCGUGCCUAAUACAUGCAAGUCGAACGGUGAUGCUCCAGCUUGCUGGAGUGGAUCAGUGGCGAACGGGUGAGUAACACGUGAGCAACCUGCCCCAGACUCUGGAAUAAGCGCUGGAAACGGCGUCUAAUACUGGAUACGAAACUGGCCCGCAUGGGCAUGGUUUGGAAAGUUUUUCGGUUUGGGAUGGGCUCGCGGCCUAUCAGCUUGUUGGUGAGGUAAUGGCUCACCAAGGCGACGACGGGUAGCCGGCCUGAGAGGGCGACCGGCCACACUGGGACUGAGACACGGCCCAGACUCCUACGGGAGGCAGCAGUGGGGAAUAUUGCACAAUGGGCGAAAGCCUGAUGCAGCGACGCCGCGUGAGGGAUGACGGCCUUCGGGUUGUAAACCUCUUUCAGCAGGGAAGAAGCGAAAGUGACGGUACCUGCAGAAGAAGCACCGGCUAACUACGUG
rnacentral:rRNA from 1 species